UACGGAGGGUGCGAGCGUUAAUCGGAAUUACUGGGCGUAAAGCGCGCGUAGGCGGUUUAGUCAGUCUGAUGUGAAAGCCCUGGGCUUAACCUGGGAACUGCAUUGGAUACUGCUAGGCUAGAGUGUGAUAGAGGGUAGUGGAAUUUCCGGUGUAGCAGUGAAAUGCGUAGAGAUCGGAAGGAACACCAGUGGCGAAGGCGGCUACCUGGGUCAACACUGACGCUGAGGUGCGAAAGCGUGGGGAG
rnacentral:rRNA from 1 species